rnacentral:rRNA from 1 species
GUGGGUAACCUGCCUCAUACAGGGGGAUAACAGUUGGAAACGACUGCUAAUACCGCAUAAGCGCACAGGAUCACAUGAUCUGGUGUGAAAAACUCCGGUGGUAUGAGAUGGACCCGCGUCUGAUUAGCCAGUUGGCAGGGUAACGGCCUACCAAAGCGACGAUCAGUAGCCGACCUGAGAGGGUGACCGGCCACAUUGGGACUGAGACACGGCCCAAACUCCUACGGGAGGCAGCAGUGGGGAAUAUUGCACAAUGGGGGAAACCCUGAUGCAGCGACGCCGCGUGAGCGAAGAAGUAUUUCGGUAUGUAAAGCUCUAUCAGCAGGGAAGAAGAAUGACGGUACCUGACUAAGAAGCACCGGCUAAAUACGUGCCAGCAGCCGCGGUAAUACGUAUGGUGCAAGCGUUAUCCGGAUUUACUGGGUGUAAAGGGAGCGCAGGCGGUGCGGCAAGUCUGAUGUGAAAGCCCGGGGCUCAACCCCGGUACUGCAUUGGAAACUGUCGUACUAGAGUGUCGGAGGGGUAAGUGGAAUUCCCAGUGUAGCGGUGAAAUGCGUAGAUAUUAGGAGGAACACCAGUGGCGAAGGCGGCUUACUGGACGAUAACUGACGCUGAGGCUCGAAAGCGUGGGGAGCAA